rnacentral:rRNA from 1 species
CCUACGGGAGGCAGCAGUGGGGAAUCUUGGACAAUGGGCGCAAGCCUGAUCCAGCCAUGCCGCGUGAGUGAUGAAGGCCCUAGGGUCGUAAAGCUCUUUCGCCAGGGAUGAUAAUGACAGUACCUGGUAAAGAAACCCCGGCUAACUCCGUGCCAGCAGCCGCGGUAAUACGGAGGGGGUUAGCGUUGUUCGGAAUUACUGGGCGUAAAGCGCGCGUAGGCGGAUUGGAAAGUUGGGGGUGAAAUCCCGGGGCUCAACCCCGGAACUGCCUCCAAAACUCCCAGUCUUGAGUUCGAGAGAGGUGAGUGGAACUCCGAGUGUAGAGGUGAAAUUCGUAGAUAUUCGGAAGAACACCAGUGGCGAAGGCGGCUCACUGGCUCGAUACUGACGCUGAGGUGCGAAAGUGUGGGGAGCAAACAGGAUUAGAUACCCUGGUAGUCCACACCGUAAACGAUGAAUGCCAGUCGUCGGGUAGCAUGCUAUUCGGUGACACACCUAACGGAUUAAGCAUUCCGCCUGGGGAGUACGGUCGCAAGAUUAAAACUCAAAGGAAUUGACGG